rnacentral:tRNA from 1 species
GCGCUUCGUGCGGUACGAGUUCUGCUGCGUGGUCUUCAGCGCCGCGGCCUUCAGCGCGGCGUGCGGGGUGGGCGUGCCGCCCUCGCCCGUACCGCC